AAUAAUAUAAAGUUGAACAUGGAUUUAAAUAAAUCUCAACAUUGGUAUCAGAGCACUAGGUUGACGAAGAUCUGCAAGAAGACCUAACUACCCUUCGAGUAGGAAGCGGACCCUUCAAGUAAGAAAAAGGGAGGUUCAGCAGAAAUAAUUCAAGAUCAUGGAACCUGUGAUCACAUUCUCAAAAGACCGAAAUAUUGUGGGACACACAUUCUCAAAGAAAAGAAACACACGAGAUGACUGUGGUCCUUAGUUUGACGAGAAGAAUGUGUGAUAUCAAACAAAGUCCCACAUUAGAAAUUAGACAAAGAAAAAUCAAAUAUAAAAAUAAAUGUCCAACUCUAAUUAGUACGAGAUUUUUUAGAAAGAAAACCAAAAGUAAAACUAUGCGGGCUUGCCUGAAGCCCAAAGUAAAAAUAUGGUACUAAUCAAACAAUCGGACAUGGACGUAAUAAAUCCCAACACUUUCCACUCCCAUUCUUCUUCUUCAUCUUCUUCUUAGUCUGUUGAAUUCAUGUUGAAUCUAGUUUUAGUUUUUGCCUGUCAUUGUUUAAGACAUUGUCAAUUAUCUCUAACCAAGCCAAAUCAAGCUCUUGAGAUUCGUCGCUUGAUUUUCUUGAUCUGACGACUGACCUAUGGAGUGAUUAGUAUCCCCAUGAACAUUAUAGAUUCUUGAAAAGUUAGCUUUCAAGAAUAUAUUGAUGAAUCUCUUAAGAUUAUAAUCUAUCUAUCUAUAUAUAUAAAGUUGGCUUAUUUGCCUUCUUAGGCCGCCACAUCAGCAAGUAGGAUGGGGGAUUUUGCGCCACGUCAGCACUCUCUCCACUGUUCAAUAUGGGCCACCUUAUGUUAGUGUUCAAUAUGGGCCACUUUAUGUUAGUGUUUAGAUGAUAACGGGUGAAUCUGAUAAACGAACAAAAAGCCCAAUGUAACCUUUCUCUUUCUCCAUGGCGGUCAUCUGCUUGAAACUCCGCCGGCUCUGACGUAAUUGAGGUGUUACGUUUUCGUAUUCAUUGAAACCAUUAUUAAGAUUCGCCUUUAACUCUCUUAUUAAAACUCUUCCAUGGAGUCGAUUUAAGUUACCCUUUCAUAAUUUCCUUAAUCUGUUCAAUUAUAAAAGGGUUGCAUAAAACUCAGAAUCUCACUCUUCACCAGAUUCAACCCGUCUAAUUCAUUACACAUACGGUAGUAAGGCAAUCUGCAUUUCUUGGAAGUAUGAAAUUUUUUAAACUUUUUACGAUCCCUGUCUGCCUGCUGAAGUAGGAGACGAAGAGUACAAUAACAAUAUGUGGGGCCAUACACGGAUGCCUACCCUUCUACGGUCUACUCAAACCAGGAUGACCUCAGCAGAUUCCAUGUUUCAUAGCAGAGAGGAUAUGGUGUAGCCUCGGAAUAUUUCCCAGAGAAAGAAAAGUAUUUACGAUCCAACUCAUGGGGUUUGCCUUUGGAGAGCCCUGUAGCAAAAGUUUGUAGUGUUUUUUUUUUUUUUUAAAGCAUCCGGGAUAUAUCUGAUCCGUAUUCAACUAUAUCUCAGGGUUUAGCCCAAGUUUUGCAUCAAAAGGGGCUUUCUUAUGUUUCUUGAGAAGCAUCAUGAGCUCCAGUUUUGAGUCUUAUGAAGAAUACGUUGAAAUCCACAGCAGGUGCAUGAGACAACUUGGUCUUCCUGUCAGUAUGUUUUAAUCAUCACUGUUAAACAUCCACUCUUCUAAAUGUAUGGCUUGACCUGAUGAUGGUGAUUCCACAAUCACGUGCCUUCAAGUAAAACAGAUGAUGGGUAAGCUUAUGAUGAUGGUUAUACACGUAGGUGAUAUACAUAGCCUAAUACUUUAUUGUCUUAGAUUUAAACUUCUUUCAUGGUCAAAGAAAUGAAAUCAAUAUAUAACCACCUUAUACACGCAUCAACGGCUAAAACGUGCAGUGUUUUUAAUGAGAUAUUGAAAACUCUUAAAAACCUUUGGUCAUGCUUCCACGAGGUUAAUAUGCAAAGGGUUGCUCCAAAGAGUUACCAGCAAGCUGCUGGAGUAGUCUUCGUUUCACGAAAUUUUUAGCUAACUUUUGCAUCGAUCAGGACCUGGGAAUCACCUUGGGCAGCAAACUCAUGGCUUCUGGGCCAAGUCAGGGCUCUGUAGUAAUACACUCAACAAUUGUUUCAACCAGUUAAAUAUUUAAGAGGACAUGUUUUACAAGUUUGGAUAGUGCAUCAUCACAACUGCUCCUUGACUUAACUCUCUAUCUCAGUGUGUUUGACGAAUAAGCCAACCGCCUUCACCCAAAGUUUCAAACGUUUGGGUUUGAAACCAAAGAGGAAAAAUGGUUUUUUGUUAAUAAUAUUUUGAGGGUCUGUUGUGUUGUCUAAAUCUGGGAAUCAUCUGAUACUAAUUGACAAAUGGAUGGUUCUUCUAUAGGGAAGUAGGAGAUGAGAAAUCCAUCUUGGAGCUCGAGUUCUUGAUCUGAUUCUUUCUGAUUGCUCAUGUUAAAUAAUUGCUCCAACAACUUCAUAGUUGGACGGUUCCUCCAACAUCAUCGCUGCAGUUUCCACCGGUUCCAUAAUUGGUGUCUACAGCCCCUAUGAGUCCAAUGAUAUUUCCACUCUUUGGUCAGAAGAACAAAUACUUAUAGUAAACGAGUGACAACAUGGGCACAACUUGCUAGCAGCCGGCUACUGUAUGUACUCGAGCUCAGUCAUCUUUGUUCUUAUUCUAGGGAAAGACGUCUGCAAUGUACGGCGAGUUUGUCCUCACGCAAGAGAACAUCUAGAUCCCCAAAAUAAGGAAAAUAUACUCUUUCAAAUAAGGAAAGAUGUGGUACGAGAGUCUGGUGGAAGUACAUUGAUGAUCUCAAGGACCCUGGUCCAAGUGGGAAAUCUUACUCGCUAAGGUACAUUGGAAGUUUGGUCGUAAAUUUUCACAGGUCUUUGUUGUACAGUGGGAUUUACGGGUGCUGCCAAGAGCAGAAACGGAAUGCAUAAGCCCUUAGACUUCUAUUGUAAGCCAUUUUCUGACUACAUGGUACCUCUCAAAUUCCCAAUAGAUGCAUGACUUAUGCAAGUUCUAUUUUGUUAUCUAUGUCAAUAAAGAUAAAUCCGAUAUUUUACUAUAGAGCCAAAACUAAGUUAAAUUUAUACAAAGCAUAGUACUAGGUAAGGAGAAGUUACAUGCCGUAUUCCCAAGAUUCAUGAUUUUAGUUCUGUAACUAUUUUGUAUCUGCGAGAGCAAUGCACUUACCCCGAUUAUAGUUUAUAAAAAAAGAAUCACAUCUUAUUACUAUGCUUUUCCAAAAUUUUAGUGAAGCCAUAAAACCAAGCUAAUCGUUCGUUUAAAAUUGAUGAAGGUAAAAACAUAAGAAUCAUGGACCAAUUUAUCACUGAUUUCCAGCUACCAUUUAUCAUCGACAAUCAAGAUAAUUUUAAAGACUCUAACAAAGGUAUGGAAUUUAUAUUAACAUACCAUGAAAUAUAACAUCUCGACUCAACUGCUUAUUCAAGAGACCACCCAAUACAUAAUGAAUUUAUAAACAGCCGAUGACAAUAGAUGACAAUAACAUAACUGAUGAUCUUCAAGUUAUUCUUCCCAUCACAGACUACAACCAAAACUAUAAGACUUGACGUUGAUGAUCUUCAAGUUAUUCUUCCCAUCACAUACUACAACCAAAACUAUAAGACUUGAUGUUGACCUUAUCAUCACCAGUCUUGAGAGAACUAAUAGGCCUCCAAUUAAAGAAGAAAAAAACGAUACAUGCACGGUAUGCUUCGGAAAUUUCAACAAUGGAACCUGUCUAUGUUUUCUUACUUGCUGCCAUACUUUCCAUUGCCGCUGCAUUGACCAAUGGCUUCGUACAAACAUAAGUUGUCCCAUAUGUAGGAAAAGUUAUCUAUAAAUCAGCAUUAUUACAAUUUAUAAGUGGUUUCUUAUGUUCCAAUUUUCCGUUUCAUUUGCAUACUAUUUUCGAUUUUUGUUUUAAUUUUUAAACAAAAAAUAUAAAUGUUUUUCCUCAUUCUCUGAUGUGCUCCAUCGCCAGAAUUAGUUUCUCACCAAAAAUCAAAUAACACAUAUACAACUGAGUUAUGUUUGGUUACACACCUUUAAAUUCAGAUUAUUCUCUAAAAUAAAAUUUCAAAUGCUGUUCU